rnacentral:misc_RNA from 1 species
GGCAGCUGCACUGGUAAGUCACUCGCAUGUGAUGCAUUAUCUUCCGAAACCACACUCCAAUUGCAGCAUAAUUUUAUGCUUACACUCCUUGAAAUUUGUCACUCCACACAAUAGUUUCUUCAAUUUUUUCAUUGAAAUGAUAGUUGUUAACUAAACCUAAUCUUGGUAACAAAAUACUAUUUAUGCUGUGCCAUCUACCUGGAAUUGACUAAUUAAAAUGCAAAUAUUACUAUUCAAAAAAAAGGAAAAUUGAAUAUUACAUUUAACAAGUUUCUCCAAAAUUCAUAGGGCAGAUUCCAUUACUCAUCUAAGACGGAUUUAAUUUCCAUAAACUGUGAUCAUGACCAUCUUCAUUUCCUUCUCUCCAAAAAAUUUACUUCUGUUAAGUUAUGGAGGGCAGAAAUGCUAAACUGGAAACUAUUCUAGGAUAACAAAC